UACGUAGGGUGCAAGCGUUGUCCGGAAUUAUUGGGCGUAAAGAGCUCGUAGGCGGUUUGUCGCGUCGGCUGUGAAAUCUCGGGGCUUAACCCCGAGCCUGCAGUCGAUACGGGCAGACUUGAGUUCGGUAGGGGAGACUGGAAUUCCUGGUGUAGCGGUGAAAUGCGUUGAUAUCAGGAGGAACACCCAUGGCGAAGGCAGCAAACUGGGCAUCAUCUGACGCUGAGGCGCGAAAGCGUGGGUAGCAAACAGG
rnacentral:rRNA from 1 species